rnacentral:rRNA from 1 species
UGCGCAGGCGGCUUACUAAGUCAGUGGUGAAAUCUUGCGGCUCAACCGUAAAAUUGCUAUUGAUACUGGUAAGCUUGAAUUCAGUUGAGGUUGGCGGAAUGUGUAAUGUAGCGGUGAAAUGCUUAGAUAUUACACAGAACACCGAUUGCGAAGGCAGCUAGCUAAACUGACAUUGACGCUGAGGCACGAAAGCGUGGGGCGCGAACAGGAUUAGAUACCCUGGUAGUC